rnacentral:lncRNA from 1 species
GCAGCGGCCCGCGGAGCCUCACACAGGCCGCAGCCGGUUCCUUUCAGCGGCCUGUCCACGCCCCGGAGACGCCCAGGGGAAGGAGAGGGCGCGGCUACAUGGGGAAUGGGAGCUGUGUUACUACCUCCACCCUGGCCCGCCAGCGUCUGGACGAAGAACCGCCGCCAGACCAGUUUGGGCCUGGUAUCUGUCAUGUUGGUAUCUUAUUGCUACAAAAAGUCUGUCUCGUCAGUCCAAAGUUAACAUCCCUGCAGUAACCAAAAACAUGAGCUGGAUAAGGAGGAGAAGAGGAGCUGGCCGAAUGAUUUUUAAGCAGAAGCUGAAUGUUCAAUAAGAAUAGAGUUGACACCUUCAGAGGAGAAGUAAGAAAUAGUUUUCCUGUGUGUCAUGUAAGUCAUGUUUUUAGGCUUACCUUUCAUGCAAUUGCAACAACAUCCUCUAAGGGUCUUGAACGAACCUUCUAUUCCCCAAAUAUUCCUGACCAUUCCCAAUGACUAUCUCAGAUGUGCUCCAUCACUUUGUCUCUCCUACUGUGAACCUUUUGGUUGGUAUCUACUGUUGACACAUAGCUUACCUAAUGAACUAGGUGGAAGUAUCUGGCUAAUGUUGCUAGCUGCCUUCUUCCACACAGCUCUAUCUCUGACAUUCUGUAGCUUGCAAGGCAUCAAAAUGGACCUGGAUUUUCUGCAGCCCUUAAGACACUUAAACCAAGUUGUGGUCCACACAGAAGCAAAGGCUUCUCUUGUCGCUUUGGGUCACAAUUUCUCUUACUGCUUUACUACUUCCACUACAGGGGCUAACAAAUGUUUUAAUGUAAACAGUGUAUUUAGGUUUUCCUCUAAGUCUCACUGCCAAUUUCAGGACCUAAGCAUGCAGUUGGGAGCUAGUGGACACGACAAGUGAAAGAUAUUAUGUUAUAUUCAGAUUUAUUUUUCUUUAGAUAUCAUAAAAGUAAUUGGACAAACCUAGUCUUCCUGACUUCCCCUUCUGUUACCUGUUAUAUUGAGUUAUCUCACUGAAGACUCCUUGUUAUUUCAGGCAAAUACACUCAGAUGUCUGUGGAUCUAGAAAUGAGUGAAAAAUAUAGAUUCCAGCUG